rnacentral:lncRNA from 1 species
AUGACCGCGCCGCUUCUAACCCGACAGCGGAAGUGCCGGGACCCUAUAAACGGCACAAGGAAGCGCGACACGCACACGCCGCCGCGACGCCACGCUGCCAUCUAGGGCCCGCCGCUCCUUGUACGGGCACAAGAGGUGGGGCCUUCGCCGUGACGUCGCGGCCGAGGCGGGGCACCGAUAGGGGGACCUAGGGCCAAGGGCGGGGCCUAUGCAAAUCGCUGAGCUGAAACAUAAAUAGAGCACUCCGCGGACACGGGGGUAGCGGGGGCGGUGGGGUUGGGUGCCCGAUGGGCUGUGAGAAUGUCAGGCUGCUGUGACGCGGGGGGCGGGGCUCAGGCGGGGUUCCCGGGGGAGGGGGCGGGCUGCCAGGCAUGGCCUAGGGUGCAUGGGUCUCCGCGCCCCCUGCCUGCUCAACUUCCCCCUCCAAUUCCCUGCUUCCCUUUGAUGUCCCGCAAGUGAGGACGCGCCUCGUGGGUCGCUGCGGGGAGGAAAGAGUAGAUGGGAGACCAAGGCGGAGAAGAGCACCAGCUCCGCUGCUCCUCUUGUCUGCAGCACGCUCAACCCCGAGCGAGUCUCAGCUUCCGCUCAGUCUCGGCUUCCAAGCUUGCCAAAGUGUCCGAAAACGCGCAGAGCGCUCGGAACCUGUCCCGCAGCUGUGCGACGCGCGUCUCGAGCUGGCCGCAGCCGCCCCGCCCUCGCGCGCCUCAGCCCCGCGGGCGGGGAUGCCGGCUCCACGGCCUCUCUACCGGGACCCCGCUCCAGGCCCGGGCGUGCUCCGGCUCGAGGUGGAAGGCACACCCGGGUAGUGGAUUUAGCAAACACACCUUUAUCUGUUCCUUAGAAAGGUGGAGCAGUCAUGCAAGAAUACUAAUGGAAGAAAGGAAGGAAGGGAGAGAAGGAGGAAGGAAUGGAGGAAAGAAGAGAAAGGAAGAUACAUCAGUGUAUGCUUCCCACGGGUCCCCUCCUCUAGUAUUCAUUUUCUCUUUCCAGCCUAGACCCUUCUGCUCUUAG